AGCAAAUGGAAAGAAGCUUAACCUAAUCAUGGCCAGUCUCUGUAAUUAAUUUAGUUAAAAUUUCCUUUAAGGUCCUAUUCAUUCUUUCCACUUGUCCUGAACUCUGAGGUCUAUAAACACAAUGUAAUUUCCAAUUUAUUUCUAGGGCUUUAGCUAAUAAUUGAGUAACUUGGGCCA